rnacentral:misc_RNA from 1 species
AUAACUCCUCCUUCCAUUGAGAAGAAGCAGCUCUUUGUGAUAAUCAUUUCAACCAUGUUGAAUAACAAAGUUCAUUUGCUUACAACAACUCCAUGUUCGUUAUUCCACAUGAAUUAGUUUUGUUUUUUCUUCUCGUGCGAAAUUCCAUUGCUUUUGAGUAGGGAUCCUUUUUUUCCAUAUAAUUUUUUUUUUCAUUCUUUUUUGUGCUUCUGUGUUCAGAUAUAAACUAAAUUGAUUAAUACUUACAGGAUUUAUUAAAAAAAAAAAAAGAUAAAAUAUUUUUAAACAGGUGUAUAUGUACUUGAAAAAUCCAUUAUUAAGAAUUAGAAAUUUUCCACCAAUGUAUUGCAAUUGACUGUGAAAACAAUCUUCUCGCCAUCAAAAGUGUUCAUCAUAUGUACCAAGACAAAAACAAAAAAACCCAAAAUAUAUAUUUCAAUACACUGUACACUUUACUAACAUUUCAAGUUAGCAAAAAGUAUUACUUCUUUCAGGAAAUAUAUCACUAAAGAUGAACUUGAAAAAAUAAAAAUGUAAAAUGCAGAUUUAUUUGUGUGUGUGUAUCAGUCAGCUUUUUUCCCCAUAGUCAGAUAUUAUUUGCUGGCAAUGACAUACCCGUACUUCUUUUUAAUUGAAAAAUUUAUGAAUUUUGAAAAGCUUGUUGUAUUGAUGUCCAUUUUUAUAUAAUGACGAUAAAAUAAAGCAAGAGUGUAUGAUGUUCCGAUCAGUGAGAAGAUGUACUGGGUAAAAGGUGUGUUCAACUACCUUCAAGAUUUUGUUUCCCUUACUUUUGUCUGGACUGUAAUUUUUGACAGACCGUUAAUUAUAGUGUUAUAAUCUACAGUUAUGCUGUUGAAGAUGCAUGAAUGUUUUUUGUGUUUGUAUCUGUAUGUUUAGGAUGGAUGAGAAUAAUAAAUUGUAAACUAUUUAUACAC